rnacentral:rRNA from 1 species
AAUCAACGCUGGCGGCGUGCCUCAGACAUGCAAGUCGAACGCGAAAUUUCCCUUCGGGGGAGAAAGUAGAGUGGCGCACGGGUGAGUAACACGUAGGUAAUUUGCCUUUGGGUGGGGAAUAACUCAGGGAAACUUGAGCUAAUACCGCAUAAUGCAGCGGCUCGACAUCGAGACAGUUGUUAAAGGCGGGGGAUCGCAAGACCUCGCGCCUAAAGAGAAGCCUGCGGCAGAUUAGCUAGUUGGUAGGGUAAUGGCCUACCAAGGCAACGAUCUGUAACCGGCCUGAGAGGGCGGUCGGUCACACUGACACUGACAUACGGGUCAGACUCCUACGGGAGGCAGCAGUCGGGAAUUUUGGGCAAUGGG